rnacentral:rRNA from 1 species
AAUAGAUACCCUGGUAGUCCACGCCGUAAACGAUGUCGACUUGGAGGUUGUUCCCUUGAGGAGUGGCUUCCGGAGCUAACGCGUUAAGUCGACCGCCUGGGGAGUACGGCCGCAAGGUUAAAACUCAAAUGAAUUGACGGGGGCCCGCACAAGCGGUGGAGCAUGUGGUUUAAUUCGAUGCAACGCGAAGAACCUUACCUACUCUUGACAUCCAGAGAACUUAGCAGAGAUGCUUUGGUGCCUUCGGGAACUCUGAGACAGGUGCUGCAUGGCUGUCGUCAGCUCGUGUUGUGAAAUGUUGGGUUAAGUCCCGCAACGAGCGCAACCCUUAUCCUUUGUUGCCAGCGGUUCGGCCGGGAACUCAAAGGAGACUGCCAGUGAUAAACUGGAGGAAGGUGGGGAUGACGUCAAGUCAUCAUGGCCCUUACGAGUAGGGCUACACACGUGCUACAAUGGCAUAUACAAAGAGAAGCGACCUCGCGAGAGCAAGCGGACCUCAUAAAGUAUGUCGUAGUCCGGA